rnacentral:rRNA from 1 species
GACGAACGCUGGCGGCGUGCUUAACACAUGCAAGUCGAACGGAAAGGCCCUGCUUUUGUGGGGUGCUCGAGUGGCGAACGGGUGAGUAACACGUGAGUAACCUGCCCUUGACUUUGGGAUAACUUCAGGAAACUGGGGCUAAUACCGGAUAGGAGCUCCUGCUGCAUGGUGGGGGUUGGAAAGUUUCGGCGGUUGGGGAUGGACUCGCGGCUUAUCAGCUUGUUGGUGGGGUAGUGGCUUACCAAGGCUUUGACGGGUAGCCGGCCUGAGAGGGUGACCGGCCACAUUGGGACUGAGAUACGGCGCAGAAUGCUACGGGAGGCAGCAGUGGGGAAUAUUGCACAAUGGGCGGAAGCCUGAUGCAGCAACGCCGCGUGCGGGAUGACGGCCUUCGGGUUGUAAACCGCUGUCGCCUGUGACGAAGCGUGAGUGACGGUAAUGGGUAAAGAAGCACCGGCUAACUACGUG